rnacentral:rRNA from 1 species
CCCAGACUCCUACGGGAGGCAGCAGUGGGGGAUAUUGCACAAUGGGGGGAACCCUGAUGCAGCGACGCCGCGUGGGUGAAGGAGUGCUUCGGCAUGUAAAGCCCUAUCGGCAGGGAAGAAGCAAGACGGGACCUGACUAAGAAGCCCCGGCUAACUACGUGCCAGCAGCCGCGGGAAUACGUAGGGGGCGAGCGCUAUCCGGAUUCAAUGGGUGUAAAGGGAGCGUAGACGGCAUGGCAAGUCAGAUGUGAAAGCCCGGGGCUCAACCCCGGGACUGCAUUUGAAACUGUCAGGCUGGAGUGCAGGAGAGGUAAGUGGAAUUCCUAGUGUAGCGGUGAAAUGCGUAGAUAUUAGGAGGAACACCAGUGGCGAAGGCGGCUUACUGGACUGUAACUGACGUUGAGGCUCGAAAUCGUGGGGAGCAAACAGGAUUAGAUCCCCCGGUA